rnacentral:rRNA from 1 species
UACGGAGGGUGCAAGCGUUAAUCGGAAUUACUGGGCUUAAAGCGUGCGUAGGCGGUUCGUUAAGUCUGUUGUGAAAGCCCCGGGCUCAACCUGGGAAUGGCAAUGGAUACUGGCGAGCUAGAGUGUGUCAGAGGAUGGUGGAAUUCCCGGUGUAGCGGUGAAAUGCGUAGAGAUCGGGGAGGAACAUCAGUGGCGAAGGCGGCCAUCUGGGACAACACUGACGCUGAGGCACGAAAAGCGUGGGGAGCAAACAGG